AACGAACGCUGGCGGCAUGCCUAACACAUGCAAGUCGAACGAGAUCUUCGGGUCUAGUGGCGCACGGGUGCGUAACGCGUGGGAAUCUGCCCUUUGGUUCGGAAUAACAGUUGGAAACGACUGCUAAUACCGGAUGAUGACGAAAGUCCAAAGAUUUAUCGCCAGAGGAUGAGCCCGCGUAGGAUUAGCUAGUUGGUGUGGUAAAGGCGCACCAAGGCGACGAUCCUUAGCUGGUCUGAGAGGAUGAUCAGCCACACUGGGACUGAGACACGGCCCAGACUCCUACGGGAGGCAGCAGUGGGGAAUAUUGGACAAUGGGCGAAAGCCUGAUCCAGCAAUGCCGCGUGAGUGAUGAAGGCCUUAGGGUUGUAAAGCACUUUUACCCGGGAUGAUAAUGACAGUACCGGGAGAAUAAGCUCCGGCUAACCCCGUGCCAGCCGCCGCGGUAA
rnacentral:rRNA from 1 species